rnacentral:antisense_RNA from 1 species
AGGGAAUUGUCAACAAAGGGACGAGAGACGCGCAACUCCGCUCCGCACUGUGCGCCAGCAUCCCCGGGGCACCGAGGGCGCUGCGGCCCGCCCGGAGACCCCCCACCCAGGCUGGAUCCGGGCCCUGGGGCCCAGGGAGCGGGUGUGGACAAAUCCUCCAAGAUUUAACUUCCAAGAAAACCGGCGGCGGAGCGGGUGGAGGAGGCGAGGAUGUGUGGCCAGUGCACGCGGAGUGCAAGGCCGCCUAGUUGGGAGCCGCAAGAGCCUGCCUGGUGUGGCAGGCACACGGAACCCAAUCCCUGUCUGUCCGCUGCGGCCUGGGAGGGGAGCGCCGGCCUCACCAGAGGAAGGAGCACGAGGGGAGGAGUUCCGAGAGGAAAUAAUUAGUGAAAUAUUUGCAGAAGAUGCUGGGAUGUGGAUUUAAUUCCGGAUGGACAGUGGUGCUUCUGAUUCCCUCAGUCUGUUUCCCCACCCACGAUCUCCUCUUUCCUUGGCCUAGACACACCAAAAAUAAUUCAAUAAAAUAAAAAUAAAAAUUUAAAAAUC